rnacentral:ncRNA from 1 species
UCUUAUCAAGAGUGGUGGAGGGAUGUGCCCUAAGAAGCCACGGCAACCGUCAUUGUGACAAGGUGCCAAAUCACUGGAUUUAAAAUCCAAAGAUGAGA